UACGUAGGGGGCAAGCGUUGUCCGGAAUCAUUGGGCGUAAAGAGCGCGUAGGCGGCCCUGUAAGUCCGCUGUGAAAGUCAAGGGCUCAACCCUUGGAUGCCGGUGGAUACUGUCGGGCUCGAGUCCGGAAGAGGCGAGUGGAAUUCCUGGUGUAGCGGUGAAAUGCGCAGAUAUCUGGAGGAACACCAGUGGCGAAGGCGGCUCACUGGCCCGAUACUGACGCUGAGGCACGAAAGCGUGGGGAGCAAACAGG
rnacentral:rRNA from 1 species